rnacentral:rRNA from 1 species
GCAAGUCGAACGGUAACAUGAGAGCUUGCUCUUGAUGACGAGUGGCGCACGGGUGCGUAACGCGUAUGCAACCUACCUAUUACAGGGGGAUAGCCCGGAGAAAUUCGGAUUAAUACCCCAUAGUAUUACCAGAUGGCAUCUGAAGGUAAUUAAAGAUUUAUCGGUAAUAGAUGGGCAUGCGUUAGAUUAGCUAGUGGGUAAGGUAAUGGCUUACCAAGGCUACGAUCUAGAGGGGGUCUGAGAGGAUGAGC